CAGACUGAGUCCAGUAGUUUGACAUUUUCAUCGGGUGUUGGUAUUGGAGUAGCUGUUGGUGCUGUUGCUUUCAUCUUGAUUGUUGUUAUCAUUGUUGUAUACAAAGGCAGAAUUAAAACAUUAAGAAACAGAAGUCAGGAAGACUUAAAACCUGGAACUGAGCUACAGACAUACGACAGUUUGAGUGAAACAAAUGAAUACAAUUACUCUACUUUUGAAGUAGAGAUCAAGUCCGAUAAAAAGCAUGAUCAAGAAGGCAAUGAAACAAAACCUUGUGAGAACAUUUCAAAUACACUUUAUGAGACAAUAGGAUGAGACUCCUCAAAUGUGCAAAAUGAAUAUAUGCAUACAUGUAUAUGUAUGAAUAAAUAAGUGCAUAUCUACAAUAAUUGUAUUAAUGUAAAAUAGCUACACUGAUCUAUAUUAAUGAAUGCAUUGCUUCAUUAAUGUGCAUUUUAAUAUAAUGACUUGAUAGAAGAACAAUAGCUCAUGAUAAUCUGUCCUUGGAGGCCCAUAAAAUACUUGUGUAUGAAUGCUUUUGACACGCUUGUCUACAUAACAUUUAAAUAUGACUUAAUAAACUUUGGUGAUAAAAAUG